rnacentral:rRNA from 1 species
UACGUAGGGUGCGAGCGUUGUCCGGAAUUACUGGGCGUAAAGAGCUCGUAGGCGGCUUGUCGCGUUGUUCGUGAAAAUUUACCGCUCAACGGUGAACUUGCGGGCGAUACGGGCAGGCUAGAGUACUGCAGGGGAGACUGGAAUUCCUGGUGUAGCGGUGAAAUGCGCAGAUAUCAGGAGGAACACCGGUGGCGAAGGCGGGUCUCUGGGCAGUAACUGACGCUGGAGGAGCGAAAGCGUGGGGAGCGAACAGG